CCACAUUGGGACUGAGACACGGCCCAAACUCCUACGGGAGGCAGCAGUAGGGAAUUUUCGGCAAUGGAGGAAACUCUGACCGAGCAACGCCGCGUGAACGAUGAAGUAUUUCGGUACGUAAAGUUCUUUUAUUAGGGAAGAAUAAAUGAUGGAAAAAUCAUUCUGACGGUACCUAAUGAAUAAGCCCCGGCUAACUAUGUGCCAGCAGCCGCGGUAAUACAUAGGGGGCAAGCGUUAUCCGGAAUUAUUGGGCGUAAAGGGUGCGUAGGCGGUUAAAUAAGUUUAUGGUCUAAGUGCAAUGCUUAACAUUGUGAUGCUAUAAAAACUGUUUAACUAGAGUAAGAUAGAGGCAAGUGGAAUUCCAUGUGUAGUGGUAAAAUGCGUAAAUAUAUGGAGGAACACCAGUAGCGAAGGCGGCUUGCUGGGUCUUUACUGACGCUGAGGCACGAAAGCGUGGGGAGCAAACAGGAUUAGAUACCCUGGUAGUCCACGCCGUAAACGAUGAGUACUAAAUGUUGGGUAAAACCAGUGUUGAAGUUAACACAUUAAGUACUCCGCCUGAGUAGUACGUACGCAAGUAUGAAACUUAAAGGAAUUGACGGGACUCCGCACAAGCGGUGGAUCAUGUUGUUUAAUUCGAAGGUACCCGAAAAACCUCACCAGGUCUUGACAUGCUUCUGCAAAGCUGUAGAAACACAGUGGAGGUUAUCAGUUGCACAGGUGGUGCAUGGUUGUCGUCAGCUCGUGUCGUGAGAUGUUGGGUUAAGUCCCGCAACGAGCGCAACCCUUAUUGUUAGUUGCCAGCACGUAAUGGUGGGGACUUUAGCAAGACUGCCAGUGAUAAAUUGGAGGAAGGUGGGGACGACGUCAAAUCAUCAUGCCCCUUAUGACCUGGGCUACAAACGUGAUACAAUGGCUGUUACAAAGGG
rnacentral:rRNA from 1 species